AUUAUUUUAAGAUUAUUUUUUAUUGUUGAAAAAAUUAAAAAUAAAUUGUUUUUAACAAAAAUUAAAAUUUAUAAUAUUUCAUUUUUUGGUUUUUUGUUUUAAAUUAAAAUAAUAAAUAUGGGGGAAAAAAAAAUUUUGUUAUAAAUUAUAUUAGUUUAUUUUAAUUAAAAAUAUUUUUUAUUAAAUUUGUUUUUUUUAUUUUUUUAUAAAAAAUAUUAAUUUAAUUAUUAUUAUUGAGUUUAAUUUAGUUAUUUUUAAAAAAAUUUUGUAUAAAAUAAAUUUGAUAAUAAAUGUUUUUUAAAUUCUUUGGGGGUUUAGUUUAUGAUUUUUUGUUUCUGCUCAUUGUUCAAUAAAAGCACUUUUAGCGUGAUUGGUCAAAGGUA
rnacentral:rRNA from 1 species